rnacentral:rRNA from 1 species
AUUGAACGCUGGCGGCAUGCUUUACACAUGCAAGUCGAACGGUAACAGGCCUUCGGGUGCUGACGAGUGGCGAACGGGUGAGUAAUGCAUCGGAACGUACCCAGAGGUGGGGGAUAACGCAGCGAAAGCUGUGCUAAUACCGCAUGUGAUCUGAGGAUGACAGCGGGGGACCGAGCAGCAAUGUUUGGCCUCGCGCCUUUGGAGCGGCCGAUGUCGGAUUAGCUAGUUGGUGGGGUAAAGGCCUACCAAGGCGACGAUCCGUAGCUGGUCUGAGAGGACGACCAGCCACACUGGGACUGAGACACGGCCCAGACUCCUACGGGAGGCAGCAGUGGGGAAUUUUGGACAAUGGGCGCAAGCCUGAUCCAGCAAUGCCGCGUGCGGGAAGAAGGCCUUCGGGUUGUAAACCGCUUUUGGCAGGAACGAAACGGUGUCCGCUAAUACCGGGCGCUAAUGACGGUACCUGCAGAAUAAGCACCGGCUAACUACGUG